GAAUUCACAUUACUCUAGAAACCCUUUCUGAGGCUCCGAUCUCUAAGCCGAGUUAACCUCCGGUCCAGGAACUAGAGGAAUUUAACAAGGAAAUUACUGACCAUAAUUGAUGACCCUGUCAAUCUCAUAGUCACUCUUUGACAAUGUAAACCCUGAAGACAAUAAUGAUAAUAAUAUCCUGACUUUUAGAGCUAAAGGAAUUGGAAGUAUUGAAUUGGAACUCUUCCAGGAAGAUUAGCCCUGAGCUAAUAUCCACUGCCAAUCCUCUUUUUGCUGAGGAAGACGCCCUGAGCUAACAUCCAUGCCCAUAUUCCUCUACUUUAUAUGUGGGAUGCCUACCACAGCAUGGCUUGACAAGUGGUGCCAUGUCCGCACCCGGGAUCCAAAUCAGCAAACCCUGGGGCGCCAAAUCGGAACGUGUGAACUUAACCGCUGCACCACCGGGCCGGCCCCCCGAAUGGUUUUUUAAGUAUGUUUCAUGCGAUAGUUUUACCCAGCCAUUCCGAGUCGCUCAAGUGCAUCAGUUCCCUCAGCAAAUCCUGCAUCAAGAGUUCUUCAACAUGGAUCUUUUCUUGGACCUCUUCCCACAAAAAUGCAUAAUUAUCCAUCCAAAUAUUUCAUGGGAAAU
rnacentral:lncRNA from 1 species